CCGACCAUGCAUCAAGUGAAUGCUUUACCACUUGGCUACUACGUCCCACCCCUUUAUUCAAAUGAUGUUUUUUGUAAGAUUUGAUGAGCAAAGUUUUCAUAAAUAUAUGCAUUACAUGUAUAUCUGCAGUGGUUUAUGAACCCAAAAUCAUGAAUUGUGGGGACACAUUUUGGAAUGUAACACAACAAUUUUAACUACAAAUAUGUAAAAUCUAAUUAUGACCCUAUUAGUAAUUUCCUAUACUUGUAUCUUUCUUUAUUUUUAAACCAUAGGUGGGCAUUUAAAAUGCCAGGGGUUGGCAUGCAUAAACCUCAGCUGAAGAUUCACAAAUAUCUGUGGUCUUCUACGUUAGCUUCCAUGUUAAGUUGUUCACAGGUAGCUCUCUUUCUCCCUAAUUAUACUGAUGGAAAGAAAUAAGGGAACACAUGGGAAUGUAGACCAAAUUUAAUUCACUCCUAACGUAGUGAUGUUUGUAUUUUAUACAAAGUUGUAAAGUGGGAUUGAAUGUCAGUAAUGUCAGAUUGACUGCCAAUAACAUGGUCAACAUCCGACACUGGACGAGUAUUUUGGUUGUUGUCACUAUUUGACCUAUGAAACUUGGUUUAUAGUUGAACCUAUAUAUACUAGUUAUUAUAUGCUCAUCUUAUUGCAUGUUAACUAAUGAUUUAAUUUUAAUUUUUAUACUUGCAUUUAUCAAUGUUCUAUUCAAUGCAUGUAAAACAAUUUAAAAUUAAUUCAAUUAAAAUUUAAAUUAUUUUAUUUUA